AUUGAACGCUGGCGGCAUGCUUUACACAUGCAAGUCGAACGGUAACAGGUUAAGCUGACGAGUGGCGAACGGGUGAGUAAUGCAUCGGAACGUGCCCGGUCGUGGGGGAUAACGCAGCGAAAGUUGCGCUAAUACCGCAUACGAUCUGAGGAUGAAAGCGGGGGACCGUAAGGCCUCGCGCGAUCGGAGCGGCCGAUGUCAGAUUAGGUAGUUGGUGGGGUAAAGGCUCACCAAGCCAACGAUCUGUAGCUGGUCUGAGAGGACGACCAGCCACACUGGGACUGAGACACGGCCCAGACUCCUCCGGGAGGCAGCAGUGGGGAAUAUUGGACAAUGGGCGAAAGCCUGAUCCAGCAAUGCCGCGUGCAGGAAGAAGGCCUUCGGGUUGUAAACUGCUUUUGUACGGAGCGAAAAGGUCUCCUCUAAUACAGGGGGCUCAUGACGGUACCGUAAGAAUAAGCACCGGCUAACUACGUGCCAGCCGCCGCAGUAA
rnacentral:rRNA from 1 species